AUUGAACGCUGGCGGCAGGCUUAACACAUGCAAGUCGAGCGGGGGAAGGUAGCUUGCUACUGGACCUAGCGGCGGACGGGUGAGUAAUGCUUAGGAAUCUGCCUAUUAGUGGGGGACAACAUCUCGAAAGGGAUGCUAAUACCGCAUACGUCCUACGGGAGAAAGCAGGGGAUGUUCGGACCUUUCGGUAAAAGAUGAGCCUAAGUCGGAGUAGGGAGUUGGUGGGGUAAAGGGCUACCAAGGCGACGAUCUGUAGCGGGGCUGAGAGAAUGAUCCGCCACACUGGGACUGGGACACGGCCCAGACUCCUACGGGAGGGAGCAGUGGGGAAUAUUGGACAAUGGGGGGAACCCUGAUCCAGCCAUGCCGCGUGUGUGAAGAAGGCCUUAUGGUUGUAAAGCACUUUAAGCGAGGAGGAGGCUACUCUAGUUAAUACCUAGGGAUAGUGGACGUUACUCGCAGAAUAAGCACCGGCUAACUCUGUGCCAGCCGCCGCAGUAA
rnacentral:rRNA from 1 species